GAUGAACGCUGGCGGCGUGCCUAAUACAUGCAAGUCGAGCGGACGGACGAGAAGCUUGCUUCUCUGAUGUUAGCGGCGGACGGGUGAGUAACACGUGGAUAACCUACCUAUAAGACUGGGAUAACUUCGGGAAACCGGAGCUAAUACCGGAUAAUAUUUUGAACCGCAUGGUUCAAAAGUGAAAGACGGUCUUGCUGUCACUUAUAGAUGGAUCCGCGCUGCAUUAGCUAGUUGGUAAGGUAACGGCUUACCAAGGCAACGAUGCAUAGCCGACCUGAGAGGGGGAUCGGCCACACUGGAACUGAGACACGGUCCAGACUCCUACGGGAGGCAGCAGUAGGGAAUCUUCCGCAAUGGGCGAAAGCCUGACGGAGCAACGCCGCGUGAGUGAUGAAGGUCUUCGGAUCGUAAAACUCUGUUAUUAGGGAAGAACAUAUGUGUAAGUAACUGUGCACAUCUUGACGGUACCUAAUCAGAAAGCCACGGCUAACUACGUG
rnacentral:rRNA from 1 species